AUUAUGGCGUUUUUACAAAAUGUGGACGAUUAAAUCUGCUGAGUAAUCGACGCUGCGAUCAAACUGGACAGUGGAUAUAUCAGCCAGAGACGACAGAAGGCGAAAUCCCAGACAGACUGCAGAACGUUUGCGGACAUGGCGUGUGAAAAAUCUGUUGUUCGUGAGAUGAAUAUCGUGGCUGCAGAUGCAACUAUCUCCGACGGGUAGAGGCUGGUCGGAAUAAAGUCGGCAGCCAUCGUAGAACCCUAUAGUAGCGGUGAUCGGUCCUUCUGUUGCUUCGAUGGCGUUGUCUCCAGAAACGUAAUACUUGACAAGAUCAUUGCUUGCUGGAGACAAAUCCCUCUCUUGUGGUGGCAUUCUCCGGCUCGAGAACAGCGCCACCUCUCACUCUGACCAGAGCAAUGCGAUUGAGGCCACAACGCCGCGAUCGCCCAGCUGCAAAUCUGUGCACAUGGAAUGCGAAUUCCGCCCUAGCGGUCCACAGACGCAAUGGGACACACUCCAUAGCUAUCGAAUGGCUCUAGGCGAUAGAGCAAAGAUCACUAACUGAAAAGCUGUGAUCCGUGAGAUUCACUGAAAACUAUGAGCGUUCUUUACCCUCGUCCAAGCUGACCAGGAAUUGCACAAAUGUGUGAAAGACGUACCGCCAUUGAAACUCAAUCCCGGAUAAGGCACGUGUACAAUACGUGGCAUGCGUAUCUAUACACACACACAAG
rnacentral:lncRNA from 1 species